AGCGAACGCUGGCGGCAGGCCUAACACAUGCAAGUCGAGCGCCCAGCAAUGGGAGCGGCAGACGGGUGAGUAACGCGUGGGGAUCUACCCAUUGGUACGGAAUAACCCAGGGAAACUUGGACUAAUACCGUAUGUGCCCUUCGGGGGAAAGAUUUAUCGCCAAUGGAUGAACCCGCGUCGGAUUAGCUAGUUGGUGAGGUAAAGGCUCACCAAGGCGACGAUCCGUAGCUGGUCUGAGAGGAUGAUCAGCCACACUGGGACUGAGACACGGCCCAGACUCCUACGGGAGGCAGCAGUGGGGAAUAUUGGACAAUGGGCGCAAGCCUGAUCCAGCCAUGCCGCGUGAGUGAUGAAGGCCUUAGGGUUGUAAAGCUCUUUCGCCGGUGAAGAUAAUGACGGUAACCGGAGAAGAAGCCCCGGCUAACUUCGUGCCAGCCGCCGCAGUAAAAC
rnacentral:rRNA from 1 species